rnacentral:rRNA from 1 species
UGGGGAAUUUUGGACAAUGGGCGAAAGCCUGAUCCAGCAAUGCCGCGUGUGUGAAGAAGGCCUUCGGGUUGUAAAGCACUUUUGUCCGGAAAGAAAUCUUUGGCUCUAAUACAGUCGGGGGAUGACGGUACCGGAAGAAUAAGCACCGGCUAACUACGUGCCAGCAGCCGCGGUAAUACGUAGGGUGCAAGCGUUAAUCGGAAUUACUGGGCGUAAAGCGUGCGCAGGCGGUUUGCUAAGACCGAUGUGAAAUCCCCGGGCUCAACCUGGGAACUGCAUUGGUGACUGGCAGGCUAGAGUAUGGCAGAGGGGGGUAAAUUCCACGUGUAGCAGUGAAAUGCGUAGAGAUGUGGAGGAAUACCGAUGGCGAAGGCAGCCCCUGGCCAAUACUGACGCUCAUGCACGAAAGCGUGGGGAGCAAAGCAGGAUUAGAUACCCUGGUAGUCCACGCCCUAAACGAUGUCAACUAGUUGUUGGGGAUUCAUUUCCUUAGUAACGUAGCUAACGCGUG